CAGACCAACACAUUUCACUGGACUGGAAAUUUGGGAGAGAAAAUGCAGGUGAAGAGCAGAGCCAUGAUGGAGAUGCUUCUGUUCUUCAGCCUCAGGACACACACUUCAUCUGCAGUUUUGAUUCAUGCGCUGGAUUCACAAACACAUCAGCUGAAUAAUCUUCAUAGCUGAGCUGUACCUGCAGUCUCUGAGCAUCAGAGGACAGAACACACACUCCUCCACUCAUCUUACGCUGUGUAGAGCAUGAGCUAAAGCAAUGCUUCCUCAGAUGAUGAAGAUCUGCGCAGUAUUUACUCUCUCAGGUGGAUCCAGCUCUUAUGGGUUUGUUUAAUAACACAACAGUAGAUAUUUUGAAGAAUGUUUGGCCACUGAUGCCCCCAGGGAGCGAAGCUGGAGAGUCACUCUGACCUCUGACCUUGAGCUGGAGGUCACACACACACACAUACACCACUGACCUUCACUGACACAUCUGUGCAGACUCACUCUGGAGGAGGAUCACACACACACACACACACGUGCACACACACACACACACACACACACACACACACACACACACACAC